rnacentral:tRNA from 1 species
GGUAAGAUGGCUGAGGGCAAAGCGGUGGAUUGUAGCCCCACAUACAGAGGUUUAAGUCCUCUUCUUAUCA